AGGGAGUUUGAUCCUGGCUCAGGAUGAACGCUGGCGGCGUGCUUAACACAUGCAAGUCGAACGGAGUUUAAGAAGGAAGCUUGCUUUCAUUUUAAACUUAGUGGCGGACGGGUGAGUAACGCGUGAGGAACCUGCCCUUCAGUGGGGAACAACAACUAGAAAUGGUUGCUAAUACCGCAUAAUGUCGGAGAGCCGCAUGACAUUCCGACCAAAGGAUUUAUUCGCUGAAGGAUGGCCUCGCGUCCGAUUAGAUAGUUGGUGAGGUAACGGCCCACCAAGUCUACGAUCGGUAGCCGAACUGAGAGGUUGAUCGGCCACAUUGGGACUGAGACACGGCCCAGACUCCUACGGGAGGCAGCAGUGGGGAAUAUUGGGCAAUGGGCGAAAGCCUGACCCAGCAACGCCGCGUGAAGGAUGACGGUCUUCGGAUUGUAAACUUCUUUAAUUGGGGAAGAACAAAAUGACCUACCCAAAGAAUAAGUCACGGCUAACUACGUGCCAGCAGCCGCGGUAAUACGUAGGUGACAAGCGUUAUCCGGAUUUACUGGGCGUAAAGGGCGUGUAGGCGGUCUUGCAAGUCAGAAGUGAAAUUCCUGAGCUCAACUCGGGCGCUGCUUCUGAAACUGCAGGACUUGAGUGCUGGAGGGGAUAGCGGAAUUCCUAGUGGAGCGGUAAAAUGCGCAGAUAUUAGGAAGAACACCGGUGGCGAAGGCGGCUAUCUGGACAGUAACUGACGCUGAGGCGCGAAAGCGUGGGGAGCAAACAGGAUUAGAUACCCUGGUAGUCCCU
rnacentral:rRNA from 1 species